rnacentral:rRNA from 1 species
CCCCUAUUUCUAGUUGCCAGCGAGUAAUGUCGGGGACUCUAGAGAAUCUUGCCCGCGUAAGCGGUGAGGAAGGUGGGGACGACGUCAAGUCAUCACGCCCCUUACGUCCAGGGCGACACACGUGCUACAAUGGUAGGGACAGUGAAUUUGCAAGCCGGUCACGGUGAGCUAAUCUACAAACCCUAUCUCAGUUCGGAUCGAGGUCUGCAACCCGACCUCGUGAAGCUGGAAUCGCUAGUAAUCGCAUAUCAGCCAUGAUGCGGUGAAUACGUUCCCGGGCCUUGUACACACCGCCC